rnacentral:rRNA from 1 species
UACGUAGGGCGCAAGCGUUGUCCGGAAUUAUUGGGCGUAAAGAGCUCGUAGGCGGCUUGUCACGUCGGGUGUGAAAGCUCGGGGCUUAACCCCGGGUCUGCAUUCGAUACGGGCUGGCUGGAGUGUGGUAGGGGAGAUCGGAAUUCCUGGUGUAGCGGUGAAAUGCGCAGAUAUCAGGAGGAAUACCGGUGGCGAAGGCGGAUCUCUGGGCCAUUACUGACGCUGAGGAGCGAAAGCGUGGGGAGCGAACAGG